AGGACGAACGCUGGCGGCGUGCUUAACACAUGCAAGUCGAGCGGAAAGGCCCUUCGGGGUACUCGAGCGGCGAACGGGUGAGUAACACGUGAGCAACCUGCCCCUGGCUCUGGGAUAGCCUCCGGAAACGGGGAUUAAUACCGGACAUUCACUUCCUUCCGCAUGGUUGGUGGUGGAAAGUUUUUUCGGCCGGGGAGGGGCUCGCGGCCUAUCAGCUUGUUGGCGGGGUAACGGCCCACCAAGGCGACGACGGGUAGCCGGCCUGAGAGGGCGACCGGCCACACUGGGACUGAGACACGGCCCAGACUCCUACGGGAGGCAGCAGUGGGGAAUAUUGCGCAAUGGGCGGAAGCCUGACGCAGCGACGCCGCGUGGGGAUGAAGGCCUUCGGGUUGUAAACCCCUUUCACCAGGAGCGAAUCCAGACGGUACCUGGGGAAGAAGCGCCGGCUAACUACGCGCCAGCAGCCGC
rnacentral:rRNA from 1 species